AUGCAUGCUCUGAUGGGUAUAAAAUCCACAAAGAAGCUCAGUUUUACAGUGACAAUCAUGAUAGGGGACACUCCAGCUACUGCACUCAUUGAUAGUGGCAGUACUGCUACAUUCAUUACCCCUAAGAUUGCUCACCUAGCUAGAUGUGCUCUCACUCCUACCAGAAAAAGAAAGGUGGUUGUGGCUAAUGGAGAUACUCUUUGGUCUGAAUUCAUUGCACUAGAAUGCCCAUUCUCUCUGCAAGGAACACAGUUCUCCACUGAUCUCAGAGUACUACAGCUUCAGGGUUAUGACGUUAUCCUAGGGGCAGAUUGGAUGGCUUCUUUCAACCCAGUAGAAUUGGACUUUGAUGAAAUGCAGGUGAAGAUCACCUUGAAAACUGGUGAAAAGAAAAUUUUUAAAGAUGAAAGCUUACCAUCUGUAGCUGUGCAAGAAUUGGAAACUGUGGAGGAACUCUCUAAGGAACCUGUUUGUGGAGCUGUCUUAAUUCUGAACAGAAUUGCUGACACCUUAGUUCCUCCUCCUGUCCAGCAACUUUUGAACAAAUACACACCAGUUUUCAGCACUCCAUCUGAUCUCCCUCCCAAGAGAACUGUGGAUCAUGCUAUACCUUUUACUCCUGAAGCCAAGAUUAUAAACCAGAGACCUUACAGACUCCCACACCACCAGAAAGAUGCUAUGGAAACCAUUAUCAAGGAUAUGAUCAAAAACAAAGUAAUUAGGGACAACUCUAGCCCUUACUCCUCCCCUGCACUCCUUGUUAAAAAGAAGGACAUGACUUGGAGAUUGGUCAAUGAUUUCAGAAAAAUCAACCAGCAAACUGUUAAGAACAAAUACCCUAUCCCUGUUAUAGAAGAUCUCCUGGAUGAAUUGAAAGGGGCAACAGUUUUCACUAAACUGGAUUUAAGAAGUGGCUAUCACCAAAUCAGAAUGCAGGAAGAAGAUAUUGGAAAAACUGCUUUCAGUACUCAUUGUGGCCACUAUGAGUAUUUAGUAAUGCCCUUUGGACUUACUAAUUCCCCAGCUACCUUUCAGCAGCUAAUGAACACAAUUUUAGCACCUUACUUGAGAAAAUUUGUGUUGGUUUUCUUUGAUGACAUCCUCAUAUACAGCAGAAACAUGAAGGAACACUUGGUACAUCUCCAACUAGUCCUUGAGGUCUUGCAGUCCCACCAACUAUAUGCUAAAAUGAGCAAGUGUACCUUUGCUCAACCUCAAGUGGAGUACUUGGGCCAUAUCAUAAGAGGUGAUGGAGUAGCUACUGAUCCUACCAAAAUUGAGGCAAUCUCCUAG
rnacentral:rRNA from 1 species